CAACCAGCAAGUGGACUGCCUGGGCGCCGAGGAUGAAAGAUUCUGCGGACCAGGCGGCGAGGAGAUCUUGCCCGUGUCGACGCCGGCCAGCCCGCCCGUGUCCAACGCCACUAUAUCCUCGGCCACCGCAGACGGCGCCGAUGAGGUUUUCGGCCCGCCGGACGUGCCGACUCCCCGGCCGACAUCCGCGGCCGGCGCAACACCCCCC